GUAGCUCAAUGGUAGAGUGCUUGUUUAUCAUGCAUGAGGCCCUGGGUUCAGUCCCCAGC
rnacentral:tRNA from 1 species